rnacentral:rRNA from 1 species
AAUCCAUAGGUUAAUGAGGCGAACCGGGGGAACUGAAACAUCUAAGUACCCCGAGGAAAAGAAAUCAACCGAGAUUCCCCCAGUAGCGGCGAGCGAACGGGGAGGAGCCCAGAGCCUGAAUCAGCAUGUGUGUUAGUGGAAGCGUCUGGAAAGGCGCGCGAUACAGGGUGACAGCCCCGUACACAAAAGCGCAUGUGCUGUGAGCUCGAUGAGUAGGGCGGGACACGUGGUAUCCUGUCUGAAUAUGGGGGGACCAUCCUCCAAGGCUAAAUACUCCUGACUGACCGAUAGUGAACCAGUACCGUGAGGGAAAGGCGAAAAGAACCCCGGCGAGGGGAGUGAAAAAGAACCUGAAACCGUGUACGUACAAGCAGUGGGAGCCCCACCACCAAAGCAUUUGCUGUACCGCGUUGACGGAGCGAAGCGACGUCAAACCGAUAAAACAGCAGUGUAAAGUGAGCCGCAGGGCGCUUUGCGCGACAGCGCAAAGGCAGGCGGUUUCGCGUAGCGAAAGCGAAUGCUUUGGGGUGGGGUGACUGCGUACCUUUUGUAUAAUGGGUCAGCGACUUAUAUUCUGUAGCAAGGUUAACCGAAUAGGGGAGCCGGAGGGAAACCGAGUCUUAAUUGGGCGUUAAGUUGCAGGGUAUAGACCCGAAACCCGGUGAUCUAGCCAUGGGCAGGUUGAAGGGUGGGUAACACUAACUGGAGGACCGAACCGACUAAUGUUGAAAAAUUAGCGGAUGACCUGUGGCUGGGGGUGAAAGGCCAAUCAAACCGGGAGAUAGCUGGUUCUCCCCGAAAGCUAUUUAGGUAGCGCCUCGUGAAUUCAUCUCCGGGGGUAGAGCACUGUUUCGGCUAGGGGGCCAUCCCGGCUUACCAACCCGAUGCAAACUGCGAAUACCGGAGAAUGUUAUCACGGGAGACACACGGCGGGUGCUAACGUCCGUCGUGAAGAGGGAAACAACCCAGACCGCCAGCUAAGGUCCCAAAGUCAUGGUUAAGUGGGAAACGAUGUGGGAAGGCCCAGACAGCCAGGAUGUUGGCUUAGAAGCAGCCAUCAUUUAAAGAAAGCGUAAUAGCUCACUGGUCGAGUCGGCCUGCGCGGAAGAUGUAACGGGGCUAAACCAUGCACCGAAGCUGCGGCA